rnacentral:rRNA from 1 species
CCGUUGGAAACGACAGCUAAUCCCCAAUAAGCCGAAAGGUGAAACGGGAUUCCGCUAGAAGAGGAGCUCGCGUCCGAUUAGUUAGUUGGUGGGGUAAAAGCCUACCAAAGCGUCGAUCGGUAGCUGGUCUGAGAGGAUGAGCAGCCACACUGGGACUGAGACACGGCCCAGACUCCUACGGGAGGCAGCAGUGGGGAAUUUUCCGCAAUGGGCGCAAGCCUGACGGAGCAACGCCGCGUGUGGGAAGAAGGCUCUUGGGCUGUCAACCACUUUUCUCAGGGAAGAAUUACUGACGGUACCUGAGGAAUCAGCCUCGGCUAACUCCGUGCCAGCAGCCGCGGUAAUACGGAGGAGGCAAGCGUUAUCCGGAAUUAUUGGGCGUAAAGCGUCCGCAGGGGGCGCAUCAAGUCUGCUGUCAAAGGUCGGAGCUUAACUCCGGUGUGGCAGUGGAAACGGGUGCGCUAGAGGGCGACAGGGGUAGAGGGAAUUCCCAGUGUAGCGGUGAAAUGCGUAGAGAUUGGGAAGAACACCGGUGGCGAAAGCGCUCUACUGGGUCGCACCUGACCCUCAGGGACGAAAGCUAAGGUAGCGAA